GAAGAAGCAAAAUAUCAGAUAACAAGCUUGGGACUUGGGAACUCUUCUGGCCCUCAAGACAAGCCAUUCCAAACAAAACCCAAAACAAACACAUUGUGUGCACUUUCUUCUGUGCACAUAUCGGUGUCUCUUUGCCUCCACCAAUGUUCAUUCCCUUCAUAUUUCCCUGUUCAAUUCAUGUUUGAUUCUUGUGUGCUGUUGUUAGUAUGGGAGCUCAGAAGAGCAUCCAUGCUGGGAAAGCCAAAAUUGAUGUCAAUGUUGAUCUCACCCACAAGCUAUGUGCUUCCUUGAUGCUCCCUCCUCUCAGAAACACUGCCAGCCCUCUUUCACUCAUAAUUGGGAGUCUUUGCCUCAAACACCCCAAUUUAUUUGGUGGGAGUGAGAAGCUUGAUUUAUCAUGGGAUAAGGGGCUGUAUGAUUCAAAUGUAUUGAUAGCUUAUAGGAGGCCAAGACCUGAAUGGCUAGCUCAACAAUGUUUUAUCAUUCAGGUGAGCAUCAAUUAAACCUUUUGCUGCUGUUAUUUUAUUGAUGAAAAUUAAGAAAAGAUGGAACACUAAUCUGGCAUUAGAGUUGGGCCUUUAUGAAGUCCCAUAACCAAGUUGAUUAUAGAUGAAAGUCCAACUGGGAAUUUGAAGGAAACAAGUUUGAUUUUGUGCACUGGUUCACAGCAUUUUAUUUCCUCUAUUUUUCUAAUUACUUGGCUUAGCAUUCUGUUUCACCUGAAAUCGGCAUCCAUGGUACACCGGUCGACAAUUUCUCUCGUUCGGGGAGUAGAGGUGUGAAUUUGUCUCGAUUUUCAGUGGGCUUGGAUCUGAAUGAGCCUGCGAGUUCCCAAUGGAGCAGCACAACCAGUAUUAAAUUUGAGCAUGUACACCUGCUGAAUGAUGAUGGCCGCUCUAUAACUAGUGAUCCUGAUGGGUUCCCAGUGACUUGCAGUGGCAGUCCUCAUGAUCGUAUGGUAGUCUUGAAGCAAGAAUCUCGAUAUGUGAAGGCCAAUGAUCAUAGUUUUUCUCAUCUCAGCAUGCAAAUAGAACAAGGGAUUCCUGUUUUGUCAAAGUGGCUAAUCUUUAAUCGUUUCAAAUUUGUUGCAACAAGGGGAGUUAAACUUGGGCCAGCAUUUUUCUUGGCAAGUCUGACAGGUGGUUCCAUUGUAGGGGACAUGGCUCCUUAUCAAGCAUUUGCUAUAGGUGGUGUUGGUAGUGUGCGAGGGUAUGGUGAGGGUGCUGUUGGAUCUGGGAGAUCAUGUCUGGUUGCAAAUAGUGAAUUGACAUUCCCUGUGAACAAGAUGUUGGAAGGUGUUGUUUUCCUGGACUGUGGAACAGACUUAGGCUCUGGUCGACUUGUACCUGGUAAGUUUCAUAUAUGACUUGCAAUUGCAAAACUAACAAAAUUUUCUUGUCAAUAUACCUUGUUAAUAAGAGAAAAAGAAUAUGCACUUUUAGUCCUUAGUGUAUAACUAUCAGAACCUAUUGGAAUAAAUUUUCACAUUUCAUGUGGGAUGGAUGCUUCAUGUGGGAUGGGGGGAGAGAGUAGCCGAAUAGGUAAAUUUUAGGACAGCAGUGCUUCAAGAUUUUAACUUCUAACACAGGUAAUCAAAGUAAAAAUAUUAGUGAAUUAUUAGAAAUUGAUAAAUGUUUAUCAUGGGAUGAAUUGUAAAUGAAAUUAAAAAAGGAAUCUAUGAAUGGUUAUCGUGAACAUCAUUUUGGUUCAGUUUUGCUGUUAAUUAUGUAAUAUGUUUAGGUUUUGACUUUCGAGAAUUCUAGGGUUAGAGGAAAUAGUAUCCAUGGCUGAAUUGUUGGCCAAGUUGCUUGAAAAUAUGGAGCAUAAGAUAAAAAAAUUUCCGAGUUCUCAAUGGUACCAGACCACUUUGUAUUGCAUUACACAUUUCCUAAGAGUUUCAAGGCUUGCUUGUUGUAUAAAACAAAUCUUUCUCACUUCUUGAAAGUGCAUGCAUGUUUGAACAUUUAGCAGUCCCACUUGUAGUUCUCUCAGAACAUAAAUUCUCCUUGGAAACAGAUAGCUUGAUGACUCCUAAAAAAGUUACGAUCAUGUAUCAACACCUAGAUGAGUAUAACCCACUCUACAAUACUAUUUGAUGUUAAGAAGCUUUCAUUGCUUGAGGUUAAAAAUUUCCUGAUAUUUAUUUAUUUAUUUUUUUUAUUGAGAAAUAUCCAGCAACAGUUUUGUAACCCCUGAAAGUAAUUUAAUAGUAGAACUCUCACUGAAAAUUAACAUAACAGUUAUGAGAGGUCUCUCUAAAUCAUUACAAAUUAAGCCGUCAUAAAUAGCCCUCCCAAACAUAGGCUGUCCCAGUCAGCAAUGUUACAUUUUUCUGCAAUAUUGGAAGGAAGUGCAGAUUUUGGCAGAUUAGCAACUCCACAAUGUGAUUAGUCGACUUAAUAGCUCUCACUUCUUUUUCUUCCCUUAACAAACGGUUAAUUGAUAUAAUCCCUGGCCUCAACUAACAGCCACGAUUUAGCCAACUGGAAAAAUUCAAGUUACUUCUUUUAAAACUGUAAUGCUAGAAUUUUGUCCGUGCAAAAGAAAAUCAUAUAUAGAAAAGCUUAAGCUCUUAAUUUGUCUCCCUUUCUUUUGUUUCCUUUUUCAGUUAUUUUGUUACUCAAGUUUGUUGACUGCAUUAUACGAUAACCUCACAUGGGCAAGAAGGGGGAUAUCUAAUGUAAUAUAUUGUGUUGGCAAGAAGGGGGAUAUCUGUGCAUCAACAUUAUGAAGCCUUACUAUAUAUUUGAUUGCAUGAUUCUGCACUUUCUUGCUAUUUAAACGAAGUUAUCUUAUCCUUGCUUGUAUUAAAUCAAAAUAUCUGCUUGAACCUUCCCCAUUAGAAUUCCCAUUUUCUAGUACAAUACUGCUCAUAUUCUAUUUUCAUUAAAAUUGUGAUAUAAGCAUGGAAAAAGGCUUCUGAAGUUUCUGUUUCCCUUCCUGCCCCUGCCUUCCCCACAAAAAACCUAACACACCAUGCACAUGUAUCUUUAUCGGUGGACUUGGAGUUUCAGGAAAUCCAGCACAAAGGCAGCGCAAACCAGGAUCUGGGAUUGGGUUUGGAUACGGCCUUCGCUUGAAGUCUCCAUUUGGUCACUUUCAUGUUGACUAUGCCAUCAAUUCCUUUCACCAAAAAACUGUCUACUUUGGCAUCGGCAACCUUAUUUCAUGAAUGUCUUGCACCUCAAAGCUGCAGUUACACAUUUUUUCCAGGUUGUUUAAAUUUGUUAUUGAGAAGAGUUGAGGAGAAGCUUUGAAGGUUGCAACUGAAAAACGUCACCUUUUCAUUCUGCUGGGGCAGUUGCAACCGUGUAUCACCUGUUUUCAGUAAAAAGUUGCAAGGGAUGCAGCGCGUUCAAGCUACGUGUGGAAGUUUUUUCUGCUGCAGUUUUGGGCACACUUGUAUAGAAAAAUAGUAUAUUCUUCCUGAAUUUAUAUUCAUAGUGCAAAAACAAUGGUAACUUCGUUGAUUCUUUUUGAAAUGGAUUUUAUUUCCCAUAUUUCCAAUGUUGCAAGUCUGUGAACUUACAUAUGCUAAAACGAAAGUUUUCUUUCUUCUAUCUCAGCAAAGAAAUGUGAGAUGGUAAGGGGUUCCA
rnacentral:misc_RNA from 1 species